UGCUAGUUGUGCGGGUUUAGACCCGCAGCGGAAAAGCUCAGUAACACGUGGCCAAACUACCCUGUGGAUGGGAACAAUCUCGGGAAACUGAGGCUAAUUCCCAAUAACGCUCCGCCCCUGGAACGGGCGGAGCUGGAAACGCUACGGCGCCACAGGAUGUGGCUGCGGUCGAUUAGGUAGACGGUGGGGUAACGGCCCACCGUGCCAAUAAUCGGUACGGGUUGUGAGAGCAAGAGCCCGGAGACGGAAUCUGAGACAAGAUUCCGGGCCCUACGGGGCGCAGCAGGCGCGAAACCUUUACACUGUACGCAAGUGCGAUAAGGGGACUCCGAGUGUGAAGGCAUAGAGCCUUCACUUUUGUACACCGUAAGGUGGUGUACGAAUAAGGGCUGGGCAAGACCGGUGCCAGCCGCCGCGGUAAUACCGGCAGCCCGAGUGAUGGCCGAUAUUAUUGGGCCUAAAGCGUCCGUAGCUGGCCGGACAAGUCCGUUGGGAAAUCUGUUCGCUUAACGAGCAGGCGUCCAGCGGAAACUGUUCGGCUUGGGACCGGAAGACCUGAGGGGUACGUCCGGGGUAGGAGUGAAAUCCUGUAAUCCUGGACGGACCACCGGUGGCGAAAGCGCCUCAGGAGGACGGAUCCGACAGUGAGGGACGAAAGCUAGGGUCUCGAACCGGAUUAGAUACCCGGGUAGUCCUAGCUGUAAACGAUGCCGCUAG
rnacentral:rRNA from 1 species